rnacentral:rRNA from 1 species
UACGUAGGGGGCAAGCGUUGUCCGGAUUUAUUGGGCGUAAAGAGCGUGUAGGCGGUUCGGUCAGUCCGCUGUGAAAGUCCAGGGCUCAACCCUGGAAUGCCGGUGGAUACUGCCGGGCUAGAGUCCGGAAGAGGCGAGUGGAAUUCCUGGUGUAGCGGUGAAAUGCGCAGAUAUCAGGAGGAACACCGAUGGCGAAGGCAGCUCGCUGGGACGGUACUGACGCUGAGGCGCGAAAACGUGGGGAGCGAACAGGAUUAGAACCGU